rnacentral:rRNA from 1 species
UGCAGUCGAGCGGUAACAGAUCCAGCUUGCUGGAUGCUGACGAGCGGCGGACGGGUGAGUAAUGCAUAGGAAUCUGCCCGAUAGUGGGGGAUAACCUGGGGAAACCCAGGCUAAUACCGCAUACGUCCUACGGGAGAAAGGGGGCUCCGGCUCCCGCUAUGGGAUGAGCCUAUGUCGGAUUAGCUAGUUGGUGAGGUAACGGCUCACCAAGGCUACGAUCCGUAGCUGGUCUGAGAGGAUGAUCAGCCACAUCGGGACUGAGACACGGCCCGAACUCCUAC